GACGAACGCUGGCGGCGUGCUUAACACAUGCAAGUCGAACGGAAAGGCCCUGCUUUUGUGGGGUGCUCGAGUGGCGAACGGGUGAGUAACACGUGAGUAACCUGCCCUUGACUUUGGGAUAACUUCAGGAAACUGGGGCUAAUACCGGAUAGGAGCUCCUGCUGCAUGGUGGGGGUUGGAAAGUUUCGGCGGUUGGGGAUGGACUCGCGGCUUAUCAGCUUGUUGGUGGGGUAGUGGCUUACCAAGGCUUUGACGGGUAGCCGGCCUGAGAGGGUGACCGGCCACAUUGGGACUGCGAUACGGCCCAGACUCCUCCGGGAGGCAGCAGUGGGGAAUAUUGCACAAUGGGCGGAAGUCUGAUGCAGCAACGCCGCGUGCGGGAUGACGGCCUUCGGGUUGUAAACCGCUUUCGCCUGUGACGAAGCGUGAGUGACGGUAAUGGGUAAAGAAGCACCGGCUAACUACGUG
rnacentral:rRNA from 1 species